rnacentral:lncRNA from 1 species
UGCUUUCAUGGUCAUGGCAUUACAUGGCUGCAUUCUCUCAGAGAUUCAGGUACAUACUAGCUUGUUCCCCCCUCUUCCAAUCUUCCAAUUCUCAAAAGUAUUGGAAGAGACAAGAGUAUGAUGCAUUGUAAUACAGGCUGCAGAGGAUAGAAGACAAGAGUUUCGUAAUGAGCUUCAAAGAGUGGGCAUUGAAGGAGCAAAAGUACUCAGAUUCAUUGGGGAAAAACUAAAGAAGAUGGAGAGACUAAACCCAAUAGAAGACAUACUCCACGAAAUUCACCAAGCAGCCGAAGAACUACAGAGCAAAAUCGACAAGAAAUCUUACCUUCUCGUGAACGCCAGGAAUUGGGAAAUCGGUAAUCGGUAUAGAGGGGAUUCGAGUGAUGAACACAAAAUCUCGCACCUUGACGCUGAUCUAAGCCGGAUCCUUGCUCAUAAAUCCC